GCUUGACUGUAGCUUGCUUAAUUGGGUUCGGGCUUUUUUUGCGCCAGCCUAGGUGGGAGGCAACGAUGAUUUUUUUUCCGGAAAAAUUUGAGCCGUUAGUGAGAGACCACUCUGAAAAGGCUAGAAUCCUAAUAAUGAUCCUUUGAAUCAGGACAUUUGACAGUUGCAGGUGGGCAGUUUUACUGGGGCGGUAUUCUCCUAAAAAGUAACGGAGGGGUGCAAAGGUUCCCUCAAGCUGACGGAAAUCAGCUUAAGAGUGUAAAGGCAAAAGGGAGCUUGACUGCAAGACCUACAAGUCGAGCAGGGCGAAAGCCGGCCUUAGUGAUCCGACGGUACCACGUGGAAGGGCCGUCGCUCAACGGAUAAAAGUUA
rnacentral:rRNA from 1 species